rnacentral:pre_miRNA from 1 species
AAAGUACUCCCUCUGUCCCAAAAUUCUUGUCUUAGAUUUGUCUAGAUACAGAUGUAUCAAGUCACAUUUUAGUAUUAGAUACAUCUGUAUCUAGACAAAUCUAAGACAAGAAUUUUGGGACAGAGGGAGUAGUUG